GAUGAACGCUGGCGGCGUGCUUAACACAUGCAAGUCGAACGAUGAAGCCCAGCUUGCUGGGUGGAUUAGUGGCGAACGGGUGAGUAACACGUGAGUAACCUGCCCUUAACUCUGGGAUAAGCCUGGGAAACUGGGUCUAAUACCGGAUAGGAGCGUCCACCGCAUGGUGGGUGUUGGAAAGAUUUAUCGGUUUUGGAUGGACUCGCGGCCUAUCAGCGUUUUUGGGAGGUAGUGGCACACCAGGGCGACGACGGGUAGCCGGCCUGAGAGGGUGACCGGCCACACUGGGACUGAGACACGGCCCAGACUCCUACGGGAGGCAGCAGUGGCGAAUAUUGCACAAUGGGCGCAAGCCUGAUGCAGCGACGCCGCGUGAGGGAUGACGGCCUUCGCGUUGUAAACCUCUUUCAGUAGGGACGAAGCGAAAGUGACGGUACCUGCAGAAGAAGCACCGGCUAACUACGUG
rnacentral:rRNA from 1 species